rnacentral:rRNA from 1 species
GGGUUGUGAGGUUAAGCGACUAAGCGUACACGGUGGAUGCCCUGGCAGUCAGAGGCGAUGAAGGGCGUGCUAAUCUGCGAUAAGCGCCGGUAAGGUGAUAUGAACCGUUAUAACCGGCGAUACCCGAAUGGGGAAACCCAGUGUGAUUCGUCACACUAUCAUUAACUGAAUCCAUAGGUUAAUGAGGCGAACCGGGGGAACUGAAACAUCUAAGUACCCCGAGGAAAAGAAAUCAACCGAGAUUCCCCCAGUAGCGGCGAGCGAACGGGGAGGAGCCCAGAGCCUGAAUCAGCAUGUGUGUUAGUGGAAGCGUCUGGAAAGGCGCGCGAUACAGGGUGACAGCCCCGUACACAAAAGCGCAUGUGCUGUGAGCUCGAUGAGUAGGGCGGGACACGUGGUAUCCUGUCUGAAUAUGGGGGGACCAUCCUCCAAGGCUAAAUACUCCUGACUGACCGAUAGUGAACCAGUACCGUGAGGGAAAGGCGAAAAGAACCCCGGCGAGGGGAGUGAAAAAGAACCUGAAACCGUGUACGUACAAGCAGUGGGAGCCCCACCACUAAGCCAGUGGUGAACUCCACAUACGCAUCCUUUGCUGAGGAUACGGUUAACGGAGCGAAAGCGACGUUCAACCUCAAAAGAAGCAGAGGGGGCUUAGUGGUGGGGUGACUGCGUACCUUUUGUAUAAUGGGUCAGCGACUUAUAUUCUGUAGCAAGGUUAACCGAAUAGGGGAGCCGGAGGGAAACCGAGUCUUAAUUGGGCGUUAAGUUGCAGGGUAUAGACCCGAAACCCGGUGAUCUAGCCAUGGGCAGGUUGAAGGUUGGGUAACACUAACUGGAGGACCGAACCGACUAAUGUUGAAAAAUUAGCGGAUGACCUGUGGCUGGGGGUGAAAGGCCAAUCAAACCGGGAGAUAGCUGGUUCUCCCCGAAAGCUAUUUAGGUAGCGCCUCGUGAAUUCAUCUCCGGGGGUAGAGCACUGUUUCGGCUAGGGGGCCAUCCCGGCUUACCAACCCGAUGCAAACUGCGAAUACCGGAGAAUGUUAUCACGGGAGACACACGGCGGGUGCUAACGUCCGUCGUGAAGAGGGAAACAACCCAGACCGCCAGCUAAGGUCCCAAAGUCAUGGUUAAGUGGGAAACGAUGUGGGAAGGCCCAGACAGCCAGGAUGUUGGCUUAGAAGCAGCCAUCAUUUAAAGAAAGCGUAAUAGCUCACUGGUCGAGUCGGCCUGCGCGGAAGAUGUAACGGGGCUAAACCAUGCACCGAAGCUGCGGCAGCGAUCUGUGUGUGUUGUUGGGUAGGGGAGCGUUCUGUAAGCCUGUGAAGGUGGCCUGUGAGGGUUGCUGGAGGUAUCAGAAGUGCGAAUGCUGACAUAAGUAACGAUAAAGCGGGUGAAAAGCCCGCUCGCCGGAAGACCAAGGGUUCCUGUCCAACGUUAAUCGGGGCAGGGUGAGUCGACCCCUAAGGCGAGGCCGAAAGGCGUAGUCGAUGGGAAACGGGUUAAUAUUCCCGUACUUGGUGUUACUGCGAAGGGGGGACGGAGAAGGCUAUGUUGGCCGGGCGACGGUUGUCCCGGUUUAAGCGUGUAGGCUGGUUUUCCAGGCAAAUCCGGAAAAUCAAGGCUGAGGCGUGAUGACGAGGCACUACGGUGCUGAAGCAACAAAUGCCCUGCUUCCAGGAAAAGCCUCUAAGCAUCAGGUAACAUCAAAUCGUACCCCAAACCGACACAGGUGGUCAGGUAGAGAAUACCAAGGCGCUUGAGAGAACUCGGGUGAAGGAACUAGGCAAAAUGGUGCCGUAACUUCGGGAGAAGGCACGCUGACAUGUAGGUGAAGUGAUUUACUCAUGGAGCUGAAGUCAGUCGAAGAUACCAGCUGGCUGCAACUGUUUAUUAAAAACACAGCACUGUGCAAACACGAAAGUGGACGUAUACGGUGUGACGCCUGCCCGGUGCCGGAAGGUUAAUUGAUGGGGUCAGCGCAAGCGAAGCUCCUGAUCGAAGCCCCGGUAAACGGCGGCCGUAACUAUAACGGUCCUAAGGUAGCGAAAUUCCUUGUCGGGUAAGUUCCGACCUGCACGAAUGGCGUAAUGAUGGCCAGGCUGUCUCCACCCGAGACUCAGUGAAAUUGAACUCGCUGUGAAGAUGCAGUGUACCCGCGGCAAGACGGAAAGACCCCGUGAACCUUUACUAUAGCUUGACACUGAACAUUGAGCCUUGAUGUGUAGGAUAGGUGGGAGGCUUUGAAGUGUGGACGCCAGUCUGCAUGGAGCCGACCUUGAAAUACCACCCUUUAAUGUUUGAUGUUCUAACGUGGACCCGUAAUCCGGGUUGCGGACAGUGUCUGGUGGGUAGUUUGACUGGGGCGGUCUCCUCCUAAAGAGUAACGGAGGAGCACGAAGGUUGGCUAAUCCUGGUCGGACAUCAGGAGGUUAGUGCAAUGGCAUAAGCCAGCUUGACUGCGAGCGUGACGGCGCGAGCAGGUGCGAAAGCAGGUCAUAGUGAUCCGGUGGUUCUGAAUGGAAGGGCCAUCGCUCAACGGAUAAAAGGUACUCCGGGGAUAACAGGCUGAUACCGCCCAAGAGUUCAUAUCGACGGCGGUGUUUGGCACCUCGAUGUCGGCUCAUCACAUCCUGGGGCUGAAGUAGGUCCCAAGGGUAUGGCUGUUCGCCAUUUAAAGUGGUACGCGAGCUGGGUUUAGAACGUCGUGAGACAGUUCGGUCCCUAUCUGCCGUGGGCGCUGGAGAACUGAGGGGGGCUGCUCCUAGUACGAGAGGACCGGAGUGGACGCAUCACUGGUGUUCGGGUUGUCAUGCCAAUGGCACUGCCCGGUAGCUAAAUGCGGAAGAGAUAAGUGCUGAAAGCAUCUAAGCACGAAACUUGCCCCGAGAUGAGUUCUCCCUGAGACUUAGAGUCUCCUGAAGGAACGUUGAAGACGACGACGUUGAUAGGCCGGGUGUGUAAGCGCAGCGAUGCGUUGAGCUAACCGGUACUAAUGAACCGUGAGGCUUAACCUUACAACGCCGAAG